AUUGAACGCUGGCGGCAGGCCUAACACAUGCAAGUCGAACGAGUGGCGGACGGGUGAGUAAUGUCUGGGAAACUGCCUGAUGGAGGGGGAUAACUACUGGAAACGGUAGCUAAUACCGCAUACCAUCAGAUGUGCCCAUAGGGGAUUAGCUUGUUGGUGGGGUAACGGCUAACCAAGGGGAAGAUCCCUAGCUGUCCUGAGAGGAAGACAGGCCACACUGGAACUGCGACACGGUCCAGACGCCUACGGUAGGCAGAAGUAGGGAAUCUUCCGCAAUGGGCGCAAGCCUGAUGCAGCCAUGCCGCGUGUAUGAAGAAGGCUUUCGGGUUGUAAAGUACUUUCAGCGGUGAGGCGUUACCCGCAGAAGAAGCACCGGCUAACGCCGUGCCAGCAGCCGCGGUAAUUC
rnacentral:rRNA from 1 species